rnacentral:tRNA from 1 species
GCGGCAGUAGCUCAGUUGGAUAGAGCAACGGCCUUCUAAGCCGUAGGUCGGGGGUUCGAACCCCUCCUGCCGCGCCA